GUCAAAAGCUUCCACGGGUUCUGCUCCGGCGAAAAAGAAGGCGGCAGGAAAACCAGCAGCGAAGAAAGCGCCGGCUAAGAAAAAGCCAGCUGCUGCUUCGAAGUCUAAAGCUCCUGCUAAGCCCAAAGGAAAAGGGAAAGCUAAGCCUGCUGCCAAGGCUAAGCCGGCUGCCAAGGCGAAACCGGCCGCCAAAGCUAAGCCCGCUCCCAAGGCUAAGGCCGCUGCUCCAGCGAAGACAAAGUCAGCUGCGAAGCCUAAGGCUGCAACAAAGCCGGCAGCUAAGGUUGCGAAGACAUCGACUAGAACGACACCGGGAAAGAAAGCAGCAGCUCCCAAGCCGGCGGCGA
rnacentral:lncRNA from 1 species